AGGAUCAGACAUUUUUCGGUUUGCUUUCAAAAUAAAAGUGUGUAAUUGACAGUGAUGCAAAUGAAUACAAAUAGUAGAAUUAUACCAUACUUUUAUUUUGAAGACUAAACGCAAAGUCCACUAUUGUGGCUAAUCCUUAUUGUGGCUAGUUUCACAUAGAUGGGUCCGCCCACCAUUAAUCAAAUAAGAACUGUCUUAUAAAUGAGGGUUACUUUAGAUGAUGACACCUAGCUAUAUAGUUAGCAAGCUAACUAUAGCUACUGAAACAGAUUAUGUAGUUUUGCUGUGUUUUUGGCGAAGAACAUUGUUUGCAUCCAUGAGCUAGCUUUUUUUAUGACCAGCACUGUAGAUGCACGAGACAACUUUACCAGCAUCAUAGCAUACGUAUCGAUGAAUCAUUGGGACAUAUGAAAUACGAGUGAUAGUGUAAUCAAUGUGUAAUAACUACGUAAAAAAUGUAUGAAAGCGUUAAAUGAUUAUGUGAUGUGCAAUCAUAUUCAGGUCCUGAUUGGUCAACAAGUGUUAUUUGACACGCAAAGACCCAAACGGCGUUCCAUAGAAAUCCUGGUUGAGAAUGAAACGACUGAACGAAUUAACAACGAAACAGCACAGCAAUCUCUAGGGUGUGGGAGCGUAAUCUACACAGCAACAGCGCCGGACACCAAGGAGCACCAAGAGGCUGGGACCAGCCUGAGAGCCGGCGAUAGGCUGAGCAAGUUUAAACCACGCUCAGCCUCUACUGUGAUAGGCCAACAGACGGGUUGGAACUACGUCUAUCACAGUAUAAGAACAGCUGUUUACUUACAUCCUGUUAGUUCUCUGCUUUACCCUGCGUGGUGAUACAGUGAAUCCGUAUAUACGAAAAUUGCAUUUACUAUUUAUCGCUUGAGUUUAAUAAAAAUACUUAAAGUAUA